UAUGAUCGUUCUCUCUCUCUCUUUUUUUUUUUUUAGCAGAUGAAUUCACUUAGGCACAGGGAGAUGACGUGAUUAACUCAAGGUCACAGUGUCAAGGAUGGAACCCAGACCUCCUUAUUUCCUUAUGGGUACCUCUGGUGAUCCUGAGAUCUGGCAAAAAGGGCGCUGGACUAUUCACUUCUUCAGACACCACCCAUUUUACAGAUGAAGCCACUGAGAUAAUGGAGCAACUGACUAAAUAGUCACCACCCCACCUCUGGAGCCUCACACAGGACUUUUCUCCUCCCACUUGAGUGGCUGCAGGUGAGACAUGGUCUUGUCACUGUAACAUAAUAGUUGAGAAUGUGACUCUGGAGUCAGCCUUCUGGGGCGUGAAUUCUGACUCAGCCACUUACUGUGUGUCCUUGGGUAAGGAAAUGGAGGCCCAGAAUGGUCAAAUAUUUGGAGAUCUCUCAAGGCCACUGCUCUGCUGGCUGGGCACUUACCCUGAAGCUCCUGUUGUUGCUGUUGUCAGCUCUCCACUUUCACCACAGCCAUCAGCUUCUGGUAGUGCUGGGGCUGAGCUGCUGGAAUGGCUCCUUUCUGUCACAGCAGGCCCAGCCUUUUCCCCAUCCUUGCCCACUUCACAUCCUGAAGCAGAAACUCUUCUCAUGAGGUUUCUGGCUAUAGCCUGAUCAUUUCACCAGGUCUCUUACUCCAACCCUUCAGGCUUUACUUUUCAUUUCCAUGCAUUGUCAGAGAAGUGUGGGUGACAUUUGAGGGGAGGGUCACCCAGCUCCUGGCAAUUGAAUUAUGCUUCUCAUUUCUGGCCCGCUUAUGCUUCCAAGAAUUUCUGUCAGUAGACAAUUCAAGUCUUUAUUUUUCUUUGGAGCUUUUAAGAUCUCACACAUAGCUCAUAUGGCA